GGGGUCAUAUUUGUCCCAAGCUCGAAGGUCUCUCUCGCUGGCGUCUCCCUCCCGCCGGUGUCUCUGGCUAUAUCAUUUUUGCCGGACUGUUUGCGUCUCUCGUAGGAGUGGAAACUGCCGGGCUUGAUAUUUAUGAGGAAGAAGGCUUAAUUUUGGAGGCUUAAACUAGAGCUAAAGCAUCCGAUUUGGAAGGGCUUGAUAUUCACGAGGAAGAAGGCUUAAUUUUGGAGGCUUAAAUUAGAGCUAAAGCAUCCGAUUUGGAAGAAAUUGAGGUUGGAAGUAGCAGUCAUGAUAUCCGAGGGGUCGAAUCUAGACGAAUAUGGAGUAAAAGGGAGGAAGAUGCUUUGCUGCUUAUUUUAGAUGAGGUUGUAGCUAGUGGGCAGCAGUGUGAUACAGGAUCAUUCAAGCCUGGCACAAGGGCUAUGAUUGAGAGGCGAUUAGCUGAGAUAUGUCCUAAUUCGGGAUUGCGAGCAAAUCCACACAUUGAGUCAAAAUUGAAAAAGUGGAAGAAGCAAUACGGUAUAAUAUACGAUAUGCUAAACAAAAGUGGGUUUGGAUGGAAUGACUCUCUUAAAUGUGUGGAAGUUGAUAGUGACGAAGUUUGGAAAGCAUAUGCGCAGAGUAAUCCAAGUGCAAAGGGAUGGAGAGGUAAAUCGUUUCUGAUGUAUGAGAGGCUUGCUACAAUUUUUGGAAAGGAUCGGACAACAGGACAUGGAGCACAAACUCCGAUUGAUAUGGUCAAUGAUUUGAAUUUGAAUAGUGGGAAUGAACAAUUUAAUGAUGUGUGUUCUCCUAUGUCUAUGAAUGAAAUACAUAGUGAACCAUCCACCCGACCUAAAUCAAGAGGAAUAUUCAAUGGCAAGGAGAAGAAUUUAUGUUGUAUUUAAAGGUAGACAACCAGGGAUAUAUAAUUCUUGGCCUGAAUGUCAUCAACAAGUUCAAGGAUUUAAGGAUAAUUUAUAUCAAGCCUAUAAUACAACCGAAGAAACUGAAAUAGCAUAUGCUGAGUAUGUAGAACAAAUGAUGAGGAAUUUAAAUGAAGCAAAUCCAAUACAACAUAUCACCACACUUACACAUGUCAACUUGAACAAUGAGUGGCGUAAUGGUUGUAUAAUCGGCUAUUUGUUUAGAUUAUUAUCAAUGGGUGUUUUUAUUUAUUUCGCAUAUAACUAGUUAUCGGUGUAAACUCAAAUAUAUACAUUUGUAUGCAGACAAGUAUGUGAAAUCGUAGUUAUUAAUACUUUCUUAAUUAAAUAUGAUGUUAUGUUUUUUUAUUUGUACAUAUGAUUUAAUAUAUUAUGAUAUCAAUUUAUUUGGUUUUUUAAA